rnacentral:rRNA from 1 species
UACAGGCUUAACACAUGCAAGUCGAGGGGCAGCAUGGUCUUAGCUUGCUAAGGCCGAUGGCGACCGGCGCACGGGUGAGUAACACGUAUCCAACCUGCCGUCUACUCUUGGACAGCCUUCUGAAAGGAAGAUUAAUACAAGAUGGCAUCAUGAGUCCGCAUGUUCACAUGAUUAAAGGUAUUCCGGUAGACGAUGGGGAUGCGUUCCAUUAGAUAGUAGGCGGGGUAACGGCCCACCUAGUCUUCGAUGGAUAGGGGUUCUGAGAGGAAGGUCCCCCACAUUGGAACUGAGACACGGUCCAAACUCCUACGGGAGGCAGCAGUGAGGAAUAUUGGUCAAUGGGCGAGAGCCUGAACCAGCCAAGUAGCGUGAAGGAUGACUGCCCUAUGGGUUGUAAACUUCUUUUAUAAAGGAAUAAAGUCGGGUAUGGAUACCCGUUUGCAUGUACUUUAUGAAUAAGGAUCGGCUAACUCCGUGCCAGCAGCCGCGGUAAUACGGAGGAUCCGA